AGCGGGGGAAAGCUUGCUUUCCUGCCGGCGAGUGGCGAACGGGUGAGUAAUACAUCGGAACGUGCCCUGUAGUGGGGGAUAACUAGUCGAAAGAUUAGCUAAUACCGCAUACGACCUGAGGGUGAAAGUGGGGAACCGCAAAGGGCCUCACGCUAUAGGAGCGGCCGAUGUCUGAUUAGCUAGUUGGUGGGGUAAAGGCCUACCAAGGCGACGAUCAGUAGCUGGUCUGAGAGGACGAUCAGCCACACUGGGACUGAGACACGGCCCAGACUCC
rnacentral:rRNA from 1 species